rnacentral:rRNA from 1 species
CUUGGUCAUUUAGAGGAAGUAAAAGUCGUAACAAGGUUUCCGUAGGUGAACCUGCGGAAGGAUCAUUAUCAAAAGUCAAGUCGGGGGCUGUAAAGCUCUCGUCUACACCCAUGUCUUUUGCGUACUCUUGUUUCCUCGGUGGCGCAAGCUGCCGAUUGGACAAACCAAAACCUUUUUUGUAAUUGCAAUCAGCGUCUGAAAAUAAUCUAAUUAUUUACAACUUUCAACAACGGAUCUCUUGGUUCUGGCAUCGAUGAAGAACGCAGCGAAAUGCGAUAAGUAGUGUGAAUUGCAGAAUUCAGUGAAUCAUCGAAUCUUUGAACGCACAUUGCGCCCCUUGGUAUUCCAUGGGGCAUGCCCGUUCGAGCGUCAUUUGUACCCUCAAGCUUUGCUUGGUGUUGGGCGUCUUGUCGUAUUACGACUCGCCUUAAAUUCAUUGGCAGCCGGCACUUUGGCCUAGGAGCGCAGCACAUUUUGCGAUCGUAGCCCGUUGUACUGGCGUCCAUCAAGAACAUUUACCACGUUUGACCUCGGAUCGGGUAGGGAUACCCGCUGAACUUAAGCAUAUCAAUAAGCGGAGGA